rnacentral:rRNA from 1 species
UGGAGUCUGCGUAGCAGCAGGUCCUCACCUUUUGGUGUGGAUGCGCGAUGCACUUAUCAAGUGUUGUGCGCUCCUUGUUCAUCCGGGCCAGCUUGCCAGUGCACUUUCGCAGAGUGGUCACCACGACCGGCAUGGCUGUCUGGCUGUUGCGGUUAAACCGUCCUUGCAUCUUCCAUGUGAUUAUGCCUGGGCGGGAUGGCAGGUAGCUCGUUGGCUUGCCUACGGUUUUCCGUCGGCGUUAGGUCUUCGAGUGUAAUCAGCUGACCGCAUCGGUUCUGUGCAGUAUGUCGGAGAUGGCGGCUUUUGGUGUGUGCGGGCGUGCCAGUCGGUUGGCGUUUUCGGGUUUGGUUGUCAUGUUGCUUGUGUGUGCAAGCCUGACGGCAGCUCGAACUCGUUCGAUCGGCGGUUGCGUUCGUUUCACUAUAUCCAGGGCCAAUAGUCUGUGGUGUUGCGGUAGACUUUCCACCUGACCCGUCUUGAAACACGGACCAAGGAGAGUAACAUGUGCGCGAGUCAUUGGGCGUAACGAAACCCAAAGGCGAAGUGAAAGUGAAUGUCUGGCUUGUCCGGACUGAGGUGAGAUCCUGUCGUUUCUCACGCGUGGUAUCGCCAAGCAUCGAGCGACAGGCGCAUCACCGGCCCGUCCCAUGGUGUAGUGACAUUCUUCGGAUUGUUCAUCACCGGGGCGGAGCAUGAGCGCACAUGUUGAGACCCGAAAGAUGGUGAACUAUGCUUGCGCAGGUUGAAGCCAGAGGAAACUCUGGUGGAGGACCGCAGCGAUU